CGGAGGGAUCAUUACCGAGUUAUCAACUCCCAAACCCCUGUGAACAUACCUAUAACGUUGCCUCGGCGGGACCGCCCCGGCGCCCUUAGCGGCCCGGAACCAGGCGCCCGCCGGAGGACCCAAACUCUUGCUUUGAACAGUGGCAUACUCUCUGAGUCUCACAAACAAAAAUAAAUCAAAACUUUCAACAACGGAUCUCUUGGCUCUGGCAUCGAUGAAGAACGCAGCGAAAUGCGAUAAGUAAUGUGAAUUGCAGAAUUCAGUGAAUCAUCGAAUCUUUGAACGCACAUUGCGCCCGCCAGCAUUCUGGCGGGCAUGCCUGUCCGAGCGUCAUUUCAACCCUCAGGGAACCCCUUCUGGGGGGGACCUGGUGUUGGGGUCCGGCCGCCCGCGCCGCCCCCGAAAUGCAGUGGCGACCUCGCCGCAGCCUCCCCUGCGUAGUAGCACAACCUCGCACCGGAGCGCGGAGACGGUCACGCCGUAAAACGCCCAACUUUCACGAGUUGACCUCGGAUCAGGUAGGAAUACCCGCU
rnacentral:rRNA from 1 species